rnacentral:rRNA from 1 species
CCUACGGGAGGCUGCAGUGAGGAAUAUUGGUCAAUGGGCGCAAGCCUGACCCAGCCAAGUCGCGUGAGGGAUGACGGUCCUAUGGAUUGUAACCCUCUUUUGUCGGGGAGCAAGGCCCGCCACGUGUGGCGGGAAGGAGAGUACCCGAAGAAAAAGCAUCGGCUAACUCUGUGCCAGCAGCCGCGGUAAUACGGAGGUUGCGAGCGUUAUACGGAUGUAUUGGGUUAAAAGGGUGCGUAGGGGGAAGGGUAAGUAAGCGGUAAAAUGUCGGUGCCCAACCCCGGACUGCCGUUGAAACUGGUCGUCUUGAGUGAUCGAGAAGUAUGCGGAAUGCGUGGUGUAGCGGUGAAAUGCAUAGAUAUCACGCAGAACUCCGAUGGCGAAGGCAGCAUACCGGCGCUCAACUGACGCUGAGGCACGAAAGCGUGGGGAUCGAACAGGAUUAGAUACCCCAGUAGUC